rnacentral:rRNA from 1 species
CGCGUAGGCGGCGGACCAAGUCGAGUGUGAAAGCCCCGGGCUCAACCUGGGAGGUGCGCUCGAGACUGGUUUGCUGGAGUUCGGGAGAGGAGAGUGGAAUUCCCAGUGUAGAGGUGAAAUUCGUAGAUAUUGGGAAGAACACCGGUGGCGAAGGCGGCUCUCUGGACCGAGACUGACGCUGAGGCGCGAAAGCGUGGGGAGCAAACAGGAUUAGAUACCCUGGUAGUCCACGCUGUAAACGAUGUGUGCUAGACGUUGGGGAGCGCAGCUCUUCGGUGUCGCAGCAAACGCUUUAAGCACACCGCCUGGGGAGUACGGCCGCAAGGUUAAA